rnacentral:lncRNA from 1 species
UUAGUGAAAGUCUGUAUUUAAAGAGAUAUUUUGUUCAGGAGAGUUGCUAGAAUUCAUUGCUUUGUAAAGAAAAAUGAAGUGUAUUGGGGUGAAAAGCAAUUGGCUUAAAUUUUUUUGAAUCAAAGGAAAGAGAAUGUCCUAAGGAGGCCAAGAGACCUGAUAAAUGCUAACACAUCGUGCCGCAUGUCUGAACUGCUGCAGUCCAAAAUGGCAGAUGUCUAGCACACGGAGCCUAGACUUGACUUUAUCACCCAAGAGAGUUUUUGUUUACAGAUGAACAAAGAGCAGGUCUUCAUCCUUCCUGCAUCAAAAGCCAACCCACUUUGGGGAGCAGCUGAAAUGAACAGAAAAAAAAUAAUACCAAGAGCAAAUCUGACUAUUUUACUGACAACAAACAGAUGCUGGGACAGGUGCUGCUGUCAUUAGAUUCAAGUAGCAAGACAAAAGUCAGGUGAUGGCUCAGAAUGCAGUGGAUGACCUUGGUCUCUUCAACUAAGAGAAGCUCCUUCAUGGCCAAUGGAACCAAUUGUUCUCAUCUGCUUCUUUUAACAGGGAGUCUUCAAAUGUCUCAGGUAGACACCCCCUAACCCACGAUGGGUCUGAGACCUGUUGGUUACCCCCAAAAUGGUUCACCAGGGUGUUCUUGCUACAUGCUACAGCUUCUUAGAAUGGCAGGUGAGAACUGAGGGGCAAGUGGACCCCAAAAGAGAAAAACAGCUCUAAAAAAGGGCUCUUUAAACCCUCACUCUGGAGGUGCUUGUCUUCCCUUAACACCCUGUACAAUACACACACACACACACACACACACACACUCCCUUUUCUGAUAUGUAGAAGCCCUUUUAUUAAUGACGAUUUGAUAGGCAUGCAAGGAAGUACAAUAAGUAGAAUUCUGGACAUGGAGUCAUGCAGACCUGAGUUCAAAUGCCUCAGACUCUCAUUAGCAUUUAAUUACUAAGACUCGGUUUGUUCAUUUGUAUAGUGAAGGAUUGGAUUCAGUGCUUUUCAGGGUCCCUUCAAGCUUUAAAUUUAUGUUGCUGCCUCCAGGUUAAGCUCAGUGCAGGGGACAAGGCAGUUGGGUUAGGUAGAUUCAUGGUCUAUGAUUUGUGCCUGCCACUGGCUCUUGUUUAUCUUGGAUGAAACAGAGGUUCCCUGUUGUGCCUUGGUUUUCUGAGCAAGGAUAUUCCCUGUGGAUAAUUUUUAAAGAGUUCCUUGAUUUUAGAAAUGGAACCUAUUUUGCUCGGCUGCUUCGUCCAGUAGGGCUGUUAAUCAUGGCACGUGACCCUUAGGCACGCACUCUCCCUUCUUCCUCAGCCCUGUGGUGGCUCUGGUCUCUAGAGAGUGGCCAAUCACGCAAAGAUUUCAUGCUGUAAGUCUCGUCUGAGAAGAGCCUCUGUGAUUUCCAUUCUGUCAUUGCUAUGGAGAUGGC